AUGCAGCAGCGGGUUGCAAAGAGGUUAGUUUGCAACCCUCUUUUCCAAAAUUCCUUAAGGCACAUUGUCCACAUCUUUGCAUCUGAGCAGUUCAUAUAUAUAUAUAUAUUUCAGAUUAUGGAUGCUGUAUAUUUCCCUAGCAUCAUUAAACAUUUCAAAUCAGUCUUCAGUUACAAGGAGGAAGAAGGGCAGGAAAAAAAAAGCCAUCUGAAUGUAAAAAAGAAAAAAAGAAAAAAUGGAUUAUUAGGAUUAUUCAAGCUUUUGUUCCUUAGCAUUUUUGAAAGCUUAACUGCAGUCUCAUGGGAAAGCUUUUUUGUCCUAGCACGAAGAGCUCAUAUGAGAAGGCAAUGCUUGCAUCUGUCACUUGCACAGUCUGCAUUACAUGUACUACAGUAAGUGAUGCUUCGACAAGAUUCGCUGAAUUGAAACAAACUUUCCUGUAAGUGACGGACUACUGAGAAACUGGAGGCAAACAAGAGUAGGCAAGGGAACCAAGUAUGAAAGGAGCAAAUCUGUCUCUGACAUUUGAAGAUAAUCUGAUUAUGGCAUGCCCAUAUGACGGAAUUGCAGGACUAGUUUAAUGUAGACAUAUGCAGAAAAAAAUGUUUAUUAACAACUGACAUACAUGCUUUGUGUGUUUUAUAAAGUAAGCCCUAUUUCUCAGAAGAUUCGUUUGCAAAUUAAGCUGGAACAGAGUGGAUCGAGUAGUGAAUGGGCUGAGAGGCUGCUGCAUGAAAUACCCACUGUGCACAUGAAAUCAUCAGAAGAGUCGCUGCUGUGUAAAAGAGAUGCUUUUUGUUAUUCUACCUGUUGAAUACAUUCAGGAGUAUUGCCUUCCACCUCUCAAGCGCUAUGGGAAGUAUAAUAGGAGAAUAGUAGAGAAUGAAAGACUUGUGGUUUUACUCCUCCUUUAUCCUGAUUAUGGAGCCAGCAAUGACUACUUUGCCAUGUGUCCAUUUCGGACUGGUUUAACACAUUUGCUUGAUGGAGUCUGUCAGCCUCACUUGCAGUCUCCAGUAAACUUCAUUCACCAAUAAAAUCAUGACCUACAUAAAUAUAAUUAAAUUC
rnacentral:lncRNA from 1 species